rnacentral:rRNA from 1 species
UCCCCAUUCGACCCGUCUUGUAACACGGACCAAGGAGUCUGACAUGUGUGCGAGUCAACGGGCGAGUAAACCCGUAAGGCGCAAGGAAGCUGAUUGGCGGGAUCCCCUUGAGGGUUGCACCGCCGACUGACCUUGAUCUUCUGAGAAGGGUUCGAGUGAGAGCAUACCUGUCGGGACCCGAAAGAUGGUGAACUAUGCCUGAGCAGGGCGAAGCCAGAGGAAACUCUG